rnacentral:tRNA from 2 species
AAUUGAUAUAGACCCAAGUCAUUUAGUGAGAUGGGGAAAGACGACGCGUUUGAAAUGGUCGGGAUAGCUCAG